AGUGCAGCUCUAAGCGGGAGGUAAACUCCUUCUAAGGCUAAAUACGGCCACGAGACCGAUAGCGAACAAGUACCGCGAGGGAAAGUUGAAAAGAACUUUGAAGAGAGAGUUCAAGAGUGCGUGAAACCGUUUGGAGGGUAAAACGGGUGGGCGCUCGAAGAUCGAACGAUCCUUACUCCCGCCAUCUGCACGCCAGUCUCUUGUAGAUCCUAACGUGUGCCCACGUCUUCACGGAUGUGAGUUUGCCACGGGUCUUGCAGGAGUUCACUGGCGGCCGUGCAGGGGCCGCAAGUUUGGGAUCUAGUAGGACUCCGCAACCGUCUGGAUAGACGUCAAACGGAACCUUCUUGAGUAUUCCACGGCUUGUCGUUCCGUUUCGGCGGUUAACUUCAAGCGGGGAGUGUUCCUGACGUUCUAGUCCGGACGUUAUCACCUGUUCGGAGAUGUGGAAAAMCWUUUCCACGUCCCAACWGCGGAGAGUAGAAUAGUC
rnacentral:rRNA from 1 species